AAUAUUAGUUUGCUUUCAAGAGUUCAAGAAUUAAGGGAAUGUAAGUGCAAGGUUUUCUAUAUCCUUAUUCUAAUCAUUGAAUCAAACAUAUAAUUGCAAUCAUAAUUAAUCCUCAAUCCACUGGCCUUUGAGAGACCAAUUGCAAACGCUAGUCUUUUCCUUAAUCUGGUCGUUCAUUAUAUUGAAAGGAUUAGGAGUAAAUUUGCUAUUUUGUUAUUAUAGGAAAAUGACAGAAGCAAAUCGAUUGGAGUAAAAGCAAAAGGAAGAAAAGAAGAAAGAAAGAAAGAAAGGAGGAAGGUCGAGAGAUUUUAAAGAAAAACGUAGGAAGAAAGCUGAUAGAGAAGAAGUCUACGGAUUUCAUGAAGUUUUAAGCUGCCAGAAGAUCAAAUUUUUUAGAGGAUUCAUCAACUACAGCAAGUUCUCGGAUAUAAUUACAGCAAUUAAGCUACUGGUUUUUCAUUAAUUCCAAGCUACACAAAAGGAGUUAGAAGUCGAGAUUGAUCAGGUUAGAAAGAUAUUUCAAUUCUAACAAAGUUUAUGAAGAAAUCUUGAUCUGAAACUAAUGGGAAGGUGAUGAAAAUUGAACGUGUGAAGACAGAACACGUGUUUCAUGCGCCAAUCUAGAGAGAUUCUGGUGUUUCAAGUAGUUUGAAGUGUAGAAGUGGAAUCCGAAACUCAAAUUGGUCAGGAUGGAAAGCUUCUUCUUUUUCUCACAAUUUGUAUGAUAACGUUUGACCUGAAAAUGAUUGGAUUUGGAUGAAAGCUUGCUGGAAAAUGCGAAUUGAAAGUAAAUUGGACAUAAAUUUCAUUUAAUUUGGUUAAGAAUUGAGUAAGUUACGUAGAAGUUGUGAAUCUGAAAAUAAUCUGGAAAUUUACUGGAGUUUAACUAUUUUCUUCAAGUUAGGAAGUUGAAGAUGACAUCUUUUAUAAGAGUUUAAUGAGAUUGUUUAGUCGGUCAUAUUUAGCAUUGAGUUAAAGCUGGUUAAAACGCAAGUUGAGAGCGCAAGUCAGAGAUUUCUAGAAUUUAAGCGCAAGUUGAAAGCAAACUUGAGAUAAAAGCAAGAAAGAUAUGGUAUUUGAUUGAAUCAUUGAGCUUAAGGCUAUUUGAAACCACAUGAAUUUCGAUGCGUUGAUGCGUUGAUGCAUCGAGAGAUAUGAUAUUUCUUGUAGUGCUACAUCGUAUAACUAAUGUUAGAGUGAAAGAUUGGUUGUAUCAGACAUGUUCUACACAACGUAAUGAUGUCAUGUUAGUUGUACAGUUUUAUAAACAUCAAAUUCCUUGCUAUAGAGUUUGUUAAUGUGAUCGAUAGAUGUUUGAAAAACUUGUUUAAGGUGAAAAUCAUGUUACGUACGCUUUGCUUUAUAGACAUGUUUAUAGGCUUGAUAAGUUUAUCAAUUGCUGAUUUACAAGAAUGUUGCCAUGCCUCGUUCUGCACGCAUCCUUACUUGUCGUGCAAAACAAAACGUGACUUAGCAACUUUGAACCUUAAACAAAUAAUGCAAACUUAACAUUAACUUAACUUAGAAAUCACCACGUAACGAAAAUAGAGUCAAACAACUUUUCUUUUUAACUUUGAAUCAAGAGUUCUACAACAGUACACGAUACAAGUUUUAAUACAAAAGUUUAACAAUGAAAGUUCUUCACAACCUUCAACAUCCAGAGCCUGGUUUGCUUGCCUACUUUAACCCAACCUUGGCCUCAAUGCCUUACAACCUGAGGAAAACCUGAGGAAAGGAGAAACUUAAACUGUAAUUCGAAGACUUGGUGAGCUGUUGUGAAUUCUUCUUUUCUUUAUACACAUAUGUGCAGAACCUUCAUCGUAUGAAUAUGUAAAAACAAUAGUUAUGAGUUGGUCUUAUGGUAAAUAGAGAGUUUGGCAUUGCUUUGUCUCAUAAUUUUAUUGAAUUGUGUUAUCUAACUUCGUUAUUUUAACUUUAUAAUUUUCAAUGCAAUGUUGAUAAUUUAUGAUUUCAGAGAAGGCUUGAUGACAUACACACCAUUUAUUGCAAGAACUUGAAGAUGAGAUAUUGCUUGUUGAAGUUGAGAGCAUGUAUGUUGAUCUUUUUAGUUAUGUGGAACUUCAUUUUUUAUUUUAGAUAUCAAGAAUACAAGUCAAAGUAUAUUACAACACAUAAACAAGCCUUUUUCUCACAAGGAUGAAGAAUGGUACUUCUUGUCUUUUUACUUCCAGAUUUUCUUUCCUUUUGUUAUUCCCCCUAAUUCAAUCUCUUUUGCCUAAUUAGGUUGGGAGACAAAUAUGAUCCAACCAAGGGUUGCACAGUUAUAGUUGUUUGAUUUUGUAGGAAUGUAAUUUCUGGAUGUAACUUCAUACUUAGAACCGAUUGAUUCUUUUAGUUUAGUAUUUUUUUUCUCCAUAUUUAUGUUAUGAAAUUUAUUGGUUGUGGUAUAGAGAGUUAAGUAGUAGUUCCCCAAUAUUUUGGGUUUCUACUUUGAGUUGGCUAGUUUAUGGUCCUAGAUCCUAGUAAAAAUUUUAUCUUUCUUUUGCCUUUAUCAAAACAUGUUUAUGUUUGUAUAGAUACUACUAUCUUUUGUAAUUUGGGAUUGAUAUAGAGUAUAGUUAGAUUUUGGUUUGUUAAGGGAGGAAGAAAAUAAAGAAUUAAAAGCUUGGAACUUCA